rnacentral:tRNA from 1 species
GCUGCCGUAGCUCUAGCGGUAGAGCGCACCCUUGGUAAGGGUGAGGUCGUGGGUUCGAAUCCCACCGGUAGCA